ACCGAAAUAGCUCAGUUGGGAGAGCGUUAGGCCAUAGAUCGAAAAGUCCCUGGUUCGAUCCGAGUUCCGGCA
rnacentral:tRNA from 1 species